AAUGAACGCUGGCGGAAUGCUUUACACAUGCAAGUCGAGCGGCAGCGCGGGGGCAACCCUGGCGGCGAGCGGCGAACGGGUGAGUAAUGCAUCGGAACGUACCCAGUCGUGGGGGAUAACGUGGCGAAAGUCACGCUAAUACCGCAUACGUCCUGAGGGAGAAAGCAGGGGAUCGCAAGACCUUGCGCGAUUGGAGCGGCCGAUGUCUGAUUAGCUAGUUGGUGGGGUAAAGGCCUACCAAGGCGACGAUCAGUAGCUGGUCUGAGAGGACGACCAGCCACACUGGGACUGAGACACGGCCCAGACUCCUACGGGAGGCAGCAGUGGGGAAUAUUGGACAAUGGGGGCAACCCUGAUCCAGCGACGCCGCGUGUGUGAAGAAGGCCUGCGGGUUGUAAAGCACUUUUAGUGGGGAGGAAGGUCUGCGACCUAACACGUCGUGGAAUUGACUUAACCCACAGAAAAAGCACCGGCUAACUCUGUGCCAGCAGCCGACGG
rnacentral:rRNA from 1 species